rnacentral:lncRNA from 1 species
CAACAGAAAGAUAAACCCAGGUUGAUAAGGAAUGAUCAUAAAAACUAGGCAAAACUUAAUAGGACCCAUCAAAUUAAAUGCAGGCAUAUGCAAUAGUGAUUAAAUAUUGUUAUUGGGAUAAAAGCACAAGGACACACUUGUCUUUCUUCAAAGAGAAGAAAGAAUAGCUGCUCAGAUUAUCUUCAGCUCUUGCUCUUCAAAACACUUGAAUGGUGUUCCUUCUACUCAUAGCAAUCAUGAGGCGCAAGCGUACAAAGCAAACAAACA